CUCUCCAGUAGGGGAACACUUCUGGUAGCUUGUGUAGUUUUCCAGUCAGUAGCUCUAAUCACAUCAGCAAUUAUCCUCCUCAGUAGCCGUCUGUGUAGACAGCACAUUGAAAGAAGGUUCUAGAAACCCAGUGUAUAUAAGACAUCCAAACAGGAGCAUGCGAAGCCGGGUUCUUGGUUUAAAAAAAAAGUGUCCAUGUGUAUAAAUGUAUGGUACUCCAUACAGAAGAAUCCUGAGAAAUUGUGUAAUGAAAUUUCACUUUCAUGAUAAAGCUAGCUAAGGAAACUGCACAAGGAAAGCCCUGUAGAGCAGCGGAGUGUGGACUAUGCUCAGGUGGAAGCUGCCUUAUUAGAACGUCUUACUACAGGGGGAUGCUGAAGAUGGACUCCUUGUGCCUUGCAAGACGCUGCUCUUUUUAACAUUGUAAAAUAACACCUGCUCAUUAUGGAAACUUU
rnacentral:lncRNA from 1 species